ensembl:lncRNA
AAAGGAGAGGCUUGGUGGCUCAGACGGUAAAGAAUCUGCCUGCAACGCAGAAGACCCAGGUUUGACCGCUGGGUCGGGAAGAUCCCCUGGAGUAGGAAAUGGCUACCCACUCCAGUAUUCUUGUCUGGAGAAUUCCAUGGACAGAGGAGCCUGGUGAGCUACAGUCCAUGGGGUCACAAAGAGUCGGACGUGACCGAGUGGCUAACACCACUACUACUGCUGGUCCCUUCCAGGACGAUGGCUGUGGAAGAACUAAGCUGGACUCCAGAAGUGGAUGCGGGCUUGGAGUUGCUGACUUGCCAAAGGCCCGGGGCUAAGAAGAGGCAGGAGUGACACCAGAACCCAGGGCUUCUAACUCAGAACCUCCUUCCAUGGCACAACAAACCGUCUCCCUGGAGUGCCGCAGCUAAAACCACCUCAUUGAACUCUCACCCGGGAGAGAAGGUCAUGCCGACUGAGUACUCCGCUCCAAGCCUGGGGAACAUCUGGUCUUUGUGGGGGCACAAACCUACAGACAAGAUUGCUACCCACAAAACGGCAACUAAGUCCCAGGACACAUGCCGAAAAUAUUUUUUGACAUUUUAGAGCUAUAGAUUCCUUUUGUGGCCCGUGAAUUUAUUGCAAGGGGUCCAUACAUCCAUAUGAACCACCAUGCCUCAAGUAUUGAGAGACUGAAUAUACAAACAAUGGUCAGAGCACAUUAAAAAAAAAAAAAAAAUAGCACUUUGACCUGCAACCUGCCCAGGAAUCCAACCCUUUAUCUAAUAAAUGACUCAGGUAGUCAGCCUGUUAUAAGUCAAACUUUUGCAGGCAGCCAGUUUGCUCUUUCCAGUGACAAUCCAGGAAGCUAAACACUAAUUCUGUAAAAAGCAGCCCCAAAUGCCCAGGACUUGAUUAAUAAAUGACAGCUUCUGUAAUUUUUUGUCCCUGCUUCCAACUCAGGACCAACCAGAGAAAGCUACAUAUGUACCCCUAACAAAUAGGAUAGGCUGAUUCCAGUUAGCCUGGAGCUGCUGCAAGCCAACAGUGUCCAAUCAGGGCAUACCUGAAGCCCUCCAGUUCUUCCACCAGAAAGCUCUUCCAUACCUCUGCCUGCCUUUCAGUUUCUGCAAAACGCAAGUGACCAUGUUGUCUCUCCCUUAUUGUAAACAACCUUUGCUUUUCUCAUUUGGUUGGUCUUCCUCAAUUUCCAGAGAUACAAUGUGGCUCAUUUGUACACAUAUCACACCCUUCGAAUAGCUGUAGCUGCUGUUGUGACAUGCA